GAUGAACGCUGGCGGCGUGCCUAAUACAUGCAAGUCGAGCGAACGGACGAGAAGCUUGCUUCUCUGAUGUUAGCGGCGGACGGGCGAGUAACACGUGGAUAACCUACCUAUAAGACUGGGAUAACUUCGGGAAACCGGAGCUAAUACCGGAUAAUAUUUUGAACCGCAUGGUUCAAAAGUGAAAGACGGUCUUGCUGUCACUUAUAGAUGGAUCCGCGCUGCAUUAGCUAGUUGGUAAGGUAACGGCUUACCAAGGCAACGAUGCAUAGCCGACCUGAGAGGGUGAUCGGCCACACUGGAACUGAGACACGGUCCAGACUCCUACGGGAGGCAGCAGUAGGGAAUCUUCCGCAAUGGGCGAAAGACUGACGGAGCAACGCCGCGUGAGUGAUGAAGGUCUUCGGAUCGUAAAACUCUGUUAUUAGGGAAGAACAUAUGUGUAAGUAACUGUGCACAUCUUGACGGUACCUAAUCAGAAAGCCACGGCUAACUACGUG
rnacentral:rRNA from 1 species